CCCCUAGAUGUUCUGGGCCGCACGCGCGCUACACUGAACAGUUCAACAAGUCUUAACCUUGGCCGAUAGGUCUGGGUAAUCUUUGAACGCUGUUCGUGAUUGGGAUGGACCUUUGCAAUUAUGGGUCUUCAACGAGGAAUUCCUAGUAAACGCAAGUCAUCAGCUUGCAUUGAUUACGUCCCUGCCCUUUGUACACACCGCCCGUCGCACCUACCGAUUGAAUGGUCCGGUGAAAUCUCGGGACGGCGGCUUGGUCGCUUGCGUCCGACUGCUGAAACUUGAUUAAACCAUNUNAUUUAGNGGAAGGUGAANUCGUANCA
rnacentral:rRNA from 1 species